GUCAUAACCUACUUCCUGUUGCGGUCCUCUGUUUGUUCUCAGCUUGUUUUUGACUUAAUUUUCUUACUGCCAUUGAACGCAAAGGUGGCAGAUCAAUAUUAACAAAUUGGAUAGACAUCUUAGAUAUCUCGGAGAUAGCAGCCUCUCGAACUUCAGCAACGUCACUGUUUAACUCCUCAUAGGCCGCCUCAAACGCCUCCUGCCAAAACUUAAGUAUCCUGAUCCGAGGACUAUUAGUGUACACAUCCCACAUAUGAUUCACCAACUUCUCCCUGUCUUCCAUUUCGAGAACGUCGAGAUCAUCUGAUUUCGGAAUAUCGAAGAGAUCGGAGAGACUAUUAAGGUUUCCG
rnacentral:misc_RNA from 1 species